GAUGAACGCUGGCGGCGUGCCUAAUACAUGCAAGUCGAGCGAACAGAUGAGGAGCUUGCUCCUCUGACGUUAGCGGCGGACGGGUGAGUAACACGUGGAUAACCUACCUAUAAGACUGGGAUAACUUCGGGAAACCGGAGCUAAUACCGGAUAAUAUAUUGAACCGCAUGGUUCAAUAGUGAAAGACGGUUUUGCUGUCACUUAUAGAUGGAUCCGCGCCGCAUUAGCUAGUUGGUAAGGUAACGGCUUACCAAGGCAACGAUGCGUAGCCGACCUGAGAGGGUGAUCCGCCACACUGGAACUGAGACACGGUCCAGACUCCUACGGGAGGCAGCAGUAGGGAAUCUUCCGCAAUGGGCGAAAGCCUGACGGAGCCACGCCGCGUGAGUGAUGAAGGUCUUCGGAUCGUAAAACUCUGUUAUUAGGGAAGAACAAAUGUGUAAGUAACUAUGCACGUCUUGACGGUACCUAAUCAGAAAGCCACGGCUAACUACGUG
rnacentral:rRNA from 1 species